GAGCCACUGCGCCCGGCUUUUUUCUUUUUUAGAAGUAAUUAUAGAUUUAAAAAUAUUAAUAGUUACAAAAUAGUAGAUAAGAGUCCCUGUGUACCCUUCAACUCACUUCCUAUAAUGAAAACCUCUUAUGUAAUCAUAGCAUAGUCAUCCCUCAGUAGCCACUGGGGUUUUGUACAAGCACCCCCAUAGACACCAAAAUCCAUGGAUGUUCAAGUCCCUGACAUAAAAUGGUUUAGUAUUUGCAUAUAACCUAUGCACAUCCUUUAAAUCGGGAGCCCCCAGCUCCUGGGGCUGUUGACCACUAUUGGUCUGUGGCCUUUUGGGAAUCAGGCUGCACAGCAAGAGAUGAGUAGUGUGCUCUGUAAAUAUAUUUGUAUUUAUAAUAAAUGUAAUCUGUAUUUAUAAUACAUGUAAUAAAUCUGUAUGUAAAGCCCCUCCCUAUUGCUUGCAUGACCACCUGAGCUCCACCUCCUGUCAGAUCAGCAGCAGCAUUAGAUUCUUGUAGGAGUGCAAACUCUACUGUGAACUGUGCAUGUAAGGGAUCUAGUUGCAUGCUCCUUAUGAGAGUCUAAUGCCUGAUGAUCUGAAGUGGGACAGUUUCAUACCAAAACCACCCCCGCAGCCCUUACCCCAUCUGUGGAAAAAUCGUUUCCCAGGAAACCAUUCCCUGGUGCCAAAGAUGUUGGGGACCACUGCUUUAAAUCAUUCUUAGAUUACUUAUAAUACAUAAUACAAUGUAAGUGCUACAGAAAUAGUUGCUAUUCCGCACUGUUUUUUGCAAUUUGUAUUUUUAUUGUUGUAUUGUUAUCUUUAUUGGUUUUGUUUUUGAGUAUUUUCAAUCAGCUGGUUGACUCUGCAGAUGCAGAACUGCAGCUAUAAAGGACCCAACUCUACAUUAGCAAAACCACAUUACAAUUAACUUUACUACAGACCUCACUUGGAUUCAGAAGUGUUUUUCUGCACUCUUUUUUAUUCUUUGUGUAUAUGUGUAUACUUCUAAGAAAUUUAUCACUGGUGUAGAUACAUAUAACCAAUAACAUAAUCAAGAUAUAGCAUUAUGCUGUCAUCCGAAGAAAGGACCUCAUGAUAUCCCUUUAUAAUCACACUCACCCCACUUCUCUAAGUCCCUGGCUACUGCUGAUCUGUUCCCUAUUUCUAGAAUUUUGUCAUGUUGAAAACCUUUUAUAAUGAAAUUAUAUAUUGUACAACCUUUUGACAUUGCAUUAUUUAUUUAUUUAUUUAUUUAUUUAUUUAUUUAUUUUUGAGACGGAGUCUCACUCUGUCGCCUGGAAGGAGUGCAGUGGCGCGAUCUUGGCUC
rnacentral:lncRNA from 10 species